rnacentral:pre_miRNA from 1 species
AUUAUACUCCCUUCGUUCUUAAUUACUUGCUGCAGAAAUGGAUGUGUCUAGGUAUAUUUUUAGCUCCAGAUACAUACAUUUAUAUCUUUUUGCGGCAAGUAAUCCGGGACGAAGGGAGUAUAUG